UGGCAUCAAUCGAUCCAGUUGAUCAAGUUGUAGGUUACAAUAUGGAUGUAUUGGAAAGCAUGUUGCCAUGUGAGAAAAUAAAAUUUUGCCAGCAAAAAACGUGGAGACUAUGGCUCCGGUAUGAUCACUUUGGAAUUUUUAUAGGACACAAAGAUAUCAUACAUCUAGAUCAACUUCCUAAAGAUAAUUCUGGUGAAGUGUUUCUCAUCACCUGGCUGAAGUUCGCUUUCGCUUUGAUCUACUCACGAGCUUAUGGAGUUCAGGAAGUAGAUUUCAAGACAGCUGCAGAAAAAAAAUUGCUUAUAAGUAUUUAGAAUUAGAUCUAUACUUCCCGUAAGUAAUAUAUAUUGACAUUGUAGUCUCAAAAA
rnacentral:sRNA from 1 species